GCCAUACCUCCUCUCCUUGUGCAUGUAAUAUUCCAUGGAAAAACUCUUCUUUCCAUGUGAAAUUUGGGUGCAAAAGGUCUUGGUGUUGGUGGUACAAAAAAUCUAGAGUUCAAGGUGGAUAGGACUCUUAUCUCCUAACCAUAAUCAAACUCUCUCCUAUUUAAACAAGGGACCAAGAGAGGGGCGGCAACAAACCAGAUAGAGAUCAGGUUUCGAUACCC
rnacentral:lncRNA from 1 species